UGCAUCGGCCGGGAAUCGAACCCGGGCCGACCGCAUGGCAGGCGAGCAUUCUACAACUGAACCACCGAUGC
rnacentral:tRNA from 1 species